AGUUUCUCAGUAACAUUGCAAGUCUUAUUAAUUUCAAGAGUUAGGGGGGAAAAAAAGAGAGGUUUGUGAGGGAACUAUUGUUUUUAUUUUAAUGUUAUAAUGUAAGAGAUCAUACUGAGAACUAACUCUCUUUUCCAGGACAUUCCAAAUUGUUCUUUGGCUAUGCCCCAUGUUUGUGCAAUGGCUCAGACAGGUUUUUCCUCUUUUCGCAGCUUCAAAAUGGCUUGCUUUUCUCCCAUAGACAGCUCUCUGGUCUUCAUGUCGGUUUAUUCUUUUUAACAACAAAUGCUGUCUCCACAGGUGAAACCCAGGGCUCAAACCAAGAGAAGACAUUCAGAGCUAUUCAUUCUUUAAAGUCCAUUUAACAAGUUUCCUUCUGCUUCUGAGUUCAAAGAGCUUUUUCUCAUCCCCAUCCUGGAUCGCCCCUACAGCUGCCUGUUUGGUACGUUCCUCUACAGCAGUGAGCAGGAGAGAAUGGAAAAGGAAGUACAGGGUAAAACGGUCACUGUGGUCCUACAUUAACAGUCAGCCGGAGGACUUCACUAACCCGUUCUAUGUGGACUGUAAAAACCAGGUGCUGUAUCCACUGGCCAGUCUCACACAUCUGGAGCUCUGGGUGGGUUAUUAUGUGCGCUGGAACCCACGCAUGAGACCACAGAAAACUACAUGAACGUACAGGUGUUCCUAAUAAAGUGGACGGUGAGUGAACAUGACGUGGCUGAAACGAUUUCCAAAACACUUCAGGAGCAGCUAGCGAUAAAGAUUAAGAUGCCGCUCCAUCAGAAUUUGAGAGAGUUAUUGUUUUUGCGUGAAGAACGUGGAGGAGCUCCAGAGAGAGGCCACGUCAUCCUGCUCCAUCUCCUCGUCCUCAGAGCAUACUUCUCCCUCCUCACAUAGUGGUGAGGACUCGCUCGAGCUUCACAUGGUGCGGCUGGAACUGGAGGAUUUGGAGAAGCAGAUCCGCGGCCUACGCGAGAAGCAGGCCCAGCUGCUGGAGCGACAAACUGCGCUGGAAACAUCUUGUGCCUCUGCCCACAUAUCCAAGGUAAGCACACAGCGUGCUAUUUCCACUCCCAGGCCCUCUACGCCGUGUGUUUCUCUGUGCAGGGACCGUGCACCUAGGACCUUCCCAGCCGUGGUCUCCGUCACGCCGGCGCCAACACACCUCGGGCCUUGGGUGAACCAGCGGCGGAAGGCGCGGGCUGGACCCCAGGUGAGGAGCUCGCCACCUCCGGUGUUCGAGAUUCCGACCAGACCUAACGCUGUGAUCGUCGGGGACUCCAUUGUGCGGAACGUCCGUGUAGCCUCAUCUAAAGGUAAGGUGUGCACACACUGUUUUUCUGGUGCUCGUGUCCUUGAUGUCGCUGCGCAGGUAUCCGGGAUCCUGAAGAAGGACGAGCGCAUUGGAGCUGUUGUGCUGCACGCGGGGACGAACGACACCAGGCUGCGGCAGACGGAGGUUCUGAAGAGGCACUUGUCCAGCCUGAUCGAGACGGUACGAGGCAGAUCACCCGCCGCGAAGAUCAUCGUCUCUGGACCUCUUCCCACAUACAGACGUGGAGCAGAAAAGUUCAGUAGACUUCUAGCUUUAAAUGAUUGGUUAGUCUCUUGGUGUAAUGAGCAGAAUCUGGUGUUUGUCAAUAACUGGAAUCUGUUCUGGGAGCGUCCUAGGUUGUUUCAUCCUGAUGGCCUGCAGCCUCGGAGCAGAACUGCUGUCUGACAACAUCUCCAAGGCGCUACACUCCAAGUGACUGUCUACCAGAUCCGGAUCCUUUCUGCCUCUGGAUGGAGCUCAAAUCUUCUCUAAUUCCAGACUGCUGGGACUACGGCUGCUCCUAAGGCCAUACAGACUUCAUAUAAAUCCAUAAUGAAAUUUUUCACACUAACUGUUGUUACCCAGAUGAGGAUGGGUUCCCUUCUGAGUCGGGUUUCUUCCUCUUAAAACAUCUUAGGGAGUUUUUCCUUGCCACCGUCGCCACUCAGGGGCUUGCUCAGUUGGGAUAAAUUCACACCUUUAAUAUCUGUAUACCAUGUUGAUAUUUCUGUAAAACUGCUUUGAGACAAUGUCUAUUGUAAAAAGCGCUAUACAAGUAAAAUUGAAUUGAAAUAAAAAAAGAUUGGUCUAGUCACGUAUCGUGCUGUAACAGAGAUAAGGUAGGAUGCAAGCGCAGUGUGAACAGUUUUAUUGAGAGACACACAGGCAGGUAAAUCCAGAACGUGAUCCAAAAACGUAAUCCAGUAACAUGCAAGGCAGGAAUCAAAGUCGUGGUCACGGGAUACAGGGUCGAUAUACCAAACAUGAAACAAACAACAGCGAGGGACUGGUAGCGGAGAAACCAGCGUGAACUUAACAAACGAACCUAAACAUGAAACUAUGGACCGACUGUGGGUAUCUAUUGUAAGGACUCUAAACUAAUCUACUAUAACUCAUUCAAUAUUCCGCGCCGUGUGCUGGGAGGCACGCAGUAUAUAUGCGGAGAUAAUCAGCAUUGUAAUGGCUGACGGCUGAGGGCAAUUCAGACACACGUGAAACUACAGCCAACGACAGAACAGGGAGGAGACAUGACAGAAACAUAAACAAAUGCAUGUGUCGAAAUGUCACGAUUGUCCACAAGGGAAAAGCAGGUGCUCGCACGCUCACAUGCUCCACAGCACGCUGCUUAAAGGGGAACUCGUGACAGGUAUCUGGAUCGUAUCAUCAGUAAAAAUCCUGAUCGGAGCGUCAGUAAUGAACACCAUUAAACUAAAGCGCUGUGCAUCCGACGGGUAAAUGAACUCACCCAAUCACAUCCUAUAUGAGAUUAUUCAGAUAUCUACACAAUACACACAGAGCGGUUCGAGAACUGACUCCAGCCCAGAACCAUGACAGUGGAAAUGUCUAAUAGUGCAGCUUUAAAUAUAUUUAAGAGGAGCAGACUUCAAACACUGAACAUUGAGGUUUAUUGUAUUUGUUUACGAGGUAAACA